rnacentral:misc_RNA from 1 species
GAAAUGCGAUAAGUAGUGUGAAUUGCAGAAUUCAGUGAAUCAUCGAAUCUUUGAACGCACAUUGCGCCCCUUGGUAUUCCAUGGGGCAUGACUGUUCGAGCGUCAUUUGUACCCUCAAGCUCUGCUUGGUGUUGGGUGUUUGUCCCGUCUCCGCGCGUGGACUCGCCCCAAAGUGAUUGGCAGCCGGCGUACUGGUCCCGGAGCGCAGCACAUGUCGCGCAAACGAGUGCCUUGGUACGGCGGCGUCCAUAAGCCCCUCUCUCACGCUCUUGACCUCGGAUCAGGUAGGGAUACCCGCUGAACUUAAGC